ACAAACUUGGUCAUUUAGAGGAAGUAAAAGUCGUAACAAGGUUUCCGUAGGUACGUUGACACCCCAAUCUUCUCAUUCUGAUGGAACCGUCGCUAACAUCGCUUCCAGGUGAACCUGCGGAAGGAUCAUUACAGUGGUAGGCUUCGGCCUCAUUCACACCCCCUGUGUUCCCUCUGGUUUCUUUGGCGAGGUCCCUCGUCAAACGUUAACGCUGAGAAUGUGGUACUGUCCGAGUGCGAUUGAAUUAUCAAAAAACUUUCAACAACGGAUCUCUUGGUUCCAGCAUCGAUGAAGAACGCAGC
rnacentral:misc_RNA from 1 species